CGACUGUCAUCAGCGUCAUGUUGUCAAGGAUCCAACGGUGUCACGCUGACAGUGAAACCCGCUUACGCCGCCUAGUGGAGCGGAUGGAAAACUGAUCAUCAGGUUCAGUGCUAAGCUAGCCUAGUUAACUGUGUUCUGGGCAAGAUCUGAGUCAGAUCAGCUCUCAACUGAUGCGGCAAGACAGAUAAAGUGUUCUGCUGAAAGGCACGCGCCUCAAGCGUAAACGGCACAAGUAUGAGAUCAGAUGAGUGUGUCAGCGCCUUGUGGACAAUAAGUGUAUCUGCAUUUCCAUAUGAAAACAGCAGCAGGACGAAAGAGACUUGAAUGAAGCAAGUGGUGCUCAAUGCAGAGCCAAAAGACGUCCAGCUCCACCUCUGUGGAUCCAGUGGGUGGAGGGAUAGAGUAAUGGGUAGGGCUAAGGUGUGGUUGGACCUUCUAGCGUCACCCAUUACGCCCAAAUUACAUCUAGAGAGGGAUCUGGACUUCACACUCCACCCAUGGAUCUGCGGUAUUCAGCAGAGGGGUGUAAUCCUGCUCCGGCUGAGCCACUCUCCGGAGUUUAGCUCCAACCUCAUUUAAAACACCUGAAGCAGCUAAUCAAGGUCUUUGGGUUUACUAGAAACUUCCAGGCAGGUGUGAUUGACUGUGUUAUUCAAAUACAAACAAUUUACUUGGAAUAAACAAAUGUUUUUAAUCAUA